GGGAUUGUGGCUCAGUGGUAGAGCUCUUGCCUAGCAUGUGUGAGGCCCUGGGUUCGAUUCUCAGCACCA
rnacentral:tRNA from 1 species